rnacentral:rRNA from 1 species
UCGGGAAUUUUGGGCAAUGGGCGAAAGCCUGACCCAGCAACGCCGCGUGAAGGAUGAAGUAUUUCGGUAUGUAAACUUCGAAAGAAUGGGAAGAAUAAAUGACGGUACCAUUUAUAAGGUCCGGCUAACUACGUGCCAGCAGCCGCGGUAAUACGUAGGGACCAAGCGUUGUUCGGAUUUACUGGGCGUAAAGGGCGCGUAGGCGGCGUGUCAAGUCAGCUGUGAAAUCUUGAGGCUUAACCUCAAGCGGUCAGCUGAUACUGAUGUGCUAGAGUGCAGAAAGGGCAAUCGGAAUUCUUGGUGUAGCGGUGAAAUGCGUAGAUAUCAAGAGGAACACCUGAGGCGAAGGCGGGUUGCUAGGCUGACACUGACGCUGAGGCGCGAAAGCCAGGGGGAGCAAACGGGAUUAGAUACCCCGGUAGUCCUGGCCCUAAACGAUGAAUACUUGGUGUCUGGAGUUAUUAUUGCUCCGGGUGCCGUCGCUAACGUUUAGUAUUCCGCCU